rnacentral:rRNA from 1 species
CAGCACCUCAAGUGGUCAGGAUGAUUAUUGGGCCUAAAGCAUCCGUAGCCGGCGCUGUAAGUUUUCGGUUAAAUCUGUACGCUCAACGUACAGGCUGCCGGGAAUACUGCAGCGCUAGGGAGUGGGAGAGGUAGACGGUACUCGGUAGGAAGGGGUAAAAUCCUUUGAUCUAUUGAUGACCACCUGUGGCGAAGGCGGUCUACCAGAACACGUCCGACGGUGAGGGAUGAAAGCUGGGGGAACAAACCGGAUUAGAUACCCGCGUAGUCC